rnacentral:ncRNA from 1 species
UUGGAGUUUGGUCUUGGCUUAUAUUUAAUUGGAUAACAAAGAGUGUAUACGUAAUUUAAUAAAUUAGUAAAAGUAACAUUUAAUAUUACACAAUUUAGUAAAUAAAGAUGGAGUUUUGUUAUAAAAUAUCAGCUAUUAUUCAUGCCAGCAGCUGCGGUUAUUUGAAUGAUAUAAAAUUAUGUAAAGUGAAAACUGUUAAUUAGUUAAAAUAAUAAUUAUACAUUAAUUGUAGGUAAAAUUAAUUUAAUGUAGAUAUUAUAUGUAGUAAAGUGUUAAGUUAAGAAUUGAAAACAGGAUUAGAUACCCUGGUAUUCUUUAAUAUAUUAUCGGGUAGUAAUAUGGUUAUGAAACUUAAAGGUCCUGGCGGCAUUAUAUCUUAAUAGAGGAACCUGUCGAAUAAUGUGAUGAUCCACGGUGUAUCUUACCUUUACUAGUAUAAUCAGUAGGUGUAUUGUUGUCGCAAGAUAGACUAAAAUAGUAGUAUUCUUUAAUUUUAUCAAAAUAAACGUCAAAUCUAAAUGCUGCUUAUGUAAAGGGUAAAUGAUGGGUUACAUUUUUAUAAAGUUCAGAUUAGUAUUGAAAUUUACUAGGAAGAUGGAUUUGUUAGUACUAAAUUUUUAGUGAGGAUUUAGUAAAAAGCUCUGUGAUGUGCACAUACCGCCCGUCGUCCCCGCCGUUUAGGGGGGGUAAGUCGUAACAAGGUAGAGCUAUUGGAAGAUGGUUCUAGGUUGAA